AGACUAUUAGUUUAAGAAAAACAUUUGAUUUCGGCUCAAAAGCUUGUGGUUAGACUCCACAAUGGUCUU
rnacentral:tRNA from 1 species